rnacentral:lncRNA from 1 species
GGCAACAACAUGUCUUCUGUGAGACCAGAAUAGUCCUCUUCUAUAAACAAUCCAGGAACUGAGGGGAAAAUCCAGUAGCGUCGGUACAAACGAUCACGACCUAACGGAGUAAUAUUUGUGCAGGCUGUUGCAUUCUGUAUCUUUUCCAAUAGUUCCUUCUCUUUCUUUAGUUGCUCCUGUUUUAAAGCUUCCUCAUCUUCAGCAGUAAGAGGUUCACUCUUUUCAGAAGUAUCUUCUUGUCUUGUAAAUUCUUUAUAUCCAUUUUGCCCUCUCCUUCCUCUCCUUCCUUUUUUG